UAAUAGCCCUGAUGGCAGUGGAAAUCCCUUUUGGCUGGAGCAGACACUCUAAAGCUUGUGUAAGGCCUCCAAAAGGAUUGCAACGUACAGCAGGACGGAAC
rnacentral:sRNA from 1 species